CAACGGCAACGGCUCUCGCUGUUGCUCCGUGUGCCUAGGUUCGAAUCCCGAAUUUUUCCUUUUUUCAAGUUUUUUUGCCUGUUAGAGGAAAUUUCAUUAAAUUUUACAAUUUUUGUUUUUUUCUCUUUUGAGGCAAGCUCAAUCAUCGGAGAUGCAAAUGCAAAAGGAAAGAUAGCAACAUACACCAAUCACUAUGGGACGCAUUUCGUCUUUGGUAAGUUUUUUUUUAACAAUAUUAGGUGUGAUGGCUUCAAGGGCCGUGCGUUGGUGUGUUGUAUUUGAAUUGUAUUAAUAGCGAAAACGCAUCUACGAUAUAAUUACCACAUUAACCACGUUCGAUGCGUAGAUGCGCCUAUGGGGUGGUAAUCGCCACUUAAUGCUGGCGACAUUUGCGAGGUACCAGGCGUUCAGCAUCAUAGGCGGACAUGCUAACCUCUCAGCUACAGUGGCCUUCUGGUGGCCUUAGACGAUGAAUACCGCUUUUAAAAAGCUAAUGGGUAUAAUGUUCCCUCGUGAUUCGCUGCUAUGGUCCGGAACGGGUUUGCUCACUUAUUGGAGCUUGCCAAGAACCACUACCUCCACAUGCGAACGUGGCUACAACAACAGAGGAUUGUACCAGGGGAUACUUCAUUAUCAAACUGUUUGGUGGGGAUAUCGACAAAUUAAUCCCAUCUAAAUUUUUUUCAAGUGUUUGACGAUCCGGAUGCUUUCAAAAUUUCAUAGCUGUGAGACUCUAUUCCUCCAUAUGAAAAAAUUUAAUUCCUAUAGAUGUUCGUUUGCUGAGUGAUCAUAAUUUCUUUUCAUUUACCUAAGCUUGCAAGGUCGAAUCUAUCUCUCCAAGAUGAAUAUAAAGUUUAGCAAUAAAGUUUUAAACACA